UAUUCAUCGCAUGCGGGAAGGAUGAGAAGCUUCGACUAAGGUUCGAUUCGAGCGUAGCGAGAAAGCGUUGCCGCAGGCAACGACCCGAAGGGCGAGGCGCAACGUGCCGAGUAAUCCUUCCCCCACCACCA
rnacentral:sRNA from 1 species